UCGGACACGUUUAUUGCUAGAAUCAGGUCUUAAGUUCUAAAGCGGGUCAGAAAUAUCCCGCAGUGAGGAAAUGUUGUAAUCAUUGUAAAAAUAAUUAGCAGGUGACUAAGAUCAUGACCACAACUGACAAAGACGUGUGCAGAUCCCACGAAAAUAGGAACAUUUGCUCGACUGUCAACUUUACAAAUAAAAUCGGGCUCCAACCCAGGAGUGGCCGAGGGGCACUGGCGAGGGAAGGGCUGUCGGCGCUGCCGCCCGAUGCCUAGCACGACUGAGACCCCUCUGCCACAUGGCGGGGACGCGGGGUUCCCACCGCGUGGCCGAGCAGAAAUUCCUUGAACUUCUCCCCCAUCCAAGGAAUUGUGGCAUCUCGGAGGGCUGGACCGGCACACGCCGGCUCAGGAGGGUGCCAGGGUCUGGGAAUGUUCUCUUCACAACAGAACAGGAAUGUACAGUCAGCUUCUGUAAAGUGCUCCGAUACUCAGUACAAAAAUACAAAACACUGAUGAUAAACAUGGCACACAUGGGAUCUGACGGGGGAAGGACUUGGCCCUGGCAGGGGCUCACAUGUACCCCACUGG
rnacentral:lncRNA from 1 species